CGGCUCACUACCAUCGAGCAAAAGCUCGUCAAGUCCUUGACUUACAAGAAACUGCUGCUGANAAACAGUACAUAAACCUCGCUUUUCUCCUCGAAUAUGGACACCUAUGCAGCUUUGGUUGUCCCAGGUGUUCUCACAAUUCUAGUUGUAGUCCUGACUUGGAUUUAUAUGCGGAAUGCGUCUCGUUUAGCGAGUGAAAGUUUGGCUACAGAAAUGACUUCCUCAAUGAAAAGGAAUGACAAGAACCGAGACGAAGAAAAAGAAGAACUCGAAAUUUCACAGGAAAAUGACCAAGACUCACUAAGUGAUGAAAAUCUUCGAGAAGAACUAGAGAAAUACAUGAUCAAACCUGGUGAAAUACAAGAUGUCUCACUGCCCAUACCACUGGACAAUGAGACUAUCCAACAUGAAAUGAAGGAAAAAGGAUUUGAAAAUAUACAGACAUAUUACAAGACAUCAAAACUACAGAUAAAAGAGAUGGAAGACAUGUUGACCAGACAAGAAAGGGAGCUAGAGAGAGAAGCACAAAGAAAACAACUGGAAGAAAUCUUUAAGCUGAUGGCUAGCGAGAAAGAGAAAUUUGGUGUUGACUCAAUGGACCAAGUUGAAGACCAAAUGAAACUCUAUGUACAGUAGCAUAUCCUGAUAUUCUAUAGCCAUCUAGAGUCAGACGUUCAUAACCAGCUGAAAAGUGGUCCACUCCUGCCAAGAAAAGAUUAAAAGGAUUAAAAGGAUUAAAAAAAAAAAAUAGAAAAGAAAAAAAGGAAAAGAAAGAAAGAAAGAAAGGAGAUAGAAAAUAGAAUGAAAGUAACAAGAAAGAAGAAGAAAGAUAGGAGAGACAGCAGAUUAUUGCCUAUAUUUUGUUCUCACUCAAAAUGCCACCUAUUGAGAUGAACUUUUCAUUUAUUAAGACAGUGAUAUGUUAAUAAAAAAAGAUAUUUUAAAAAUUAUUUAAAUUAUCUUAAUGACUUUAUUUGAAAGAUUCACUUUUAAUUGUAAAAAGGAAGAGAUCACAAAGGAUGGGUCUCUCUAAAAGAUUAAGAACAUUAUUAUAACCAUUAAGAGCUGUUAAUAUUUAAUUCAUUAUAUUCUCAUUUGUUAUUAAAAAUUGCUCCAUUAGAGUUCA
rnacentral:misc_RNA from 1 species